rnacentral:tRNA from 1 species
GUCGUGGUAGCCCAACCGGAAGAGCACCGGCCUCCGAAGCCGGAGGUUGGUGGUUCGAGCCCACCCCGCGACGCCA